AGGUUGUAUCAGAACUUCUCCAGCUACUUCAGGGGUCAGCACAGAAGCGACCUGGGUCAUCUCCAGGAAAUGGACUGGGUUUGCCGCAAUUUAUUUCUUUCCUGGCUCAGCAGGAUAAUCCUACACAGAAAAUGACGCGGUCGUCUUCAAGACAGUCUAUCACCUCGACUAUGGCCUCUACACCAAGAAAAUACUCAGUUAG